CCUACGGGUGACAGCAGUGAGGAAUAUUGGUCAAUGGGAGAGAUCCUGAACCAGCCAAGCCGCGUGAGGGAAGACGGUCCUAUGGGUUGUAAACCUCUUUUGUCGGAGAACAAAACCCGGUACGUGUCCCGGACUGCGUGUAUCCGUAGAAAAAGCAUCGGCGAACUCCGUGCCAGCAGCCGCGGUAAUACGGAGGCAGCGAGCGUUAUCCGGAUUUAUUGGGUUAAAAGGGUGCGUGGGCGGUCCGUUAAGUCAGCGGUAAAAUUGCGGGGCUCAACCCCGACGAGCCGGUGAAACUGGCAGGCUUGAGUGGGCGAGAAGUACGCGGAAUGCGCGGUGUAGCGGUGAAAUGCAUAGAUAUCGCGCAGAACUCCGAUUGCGAAGGCAGCGUACCGGAGCCAGACUGACGCUGAGGCACGAAAGCGUGGGGAUCGAACAGGAUUAGAUACCCCAGUAGUC
rnacentral:rRNA from 1 species